GCUUUGGGAGGGAGGUGCGUCCUAUCAUGUAGUUAGGUGAGGUAGUGGCUCACCAAGCCUAUGACGGGUAGCCGGUCUGAGAGGAUGUCCGGCCGCAAUGGGACUGAGACACGGCCCAUACUCCUAUGGGAGGCAGCAGUGGGGAAUAUUGGACAAUGGGCGAAAGCCUGAUCCAGCGACUCCGCGUGGAGGAUGACGCGUUACGGCGUGUAAACUCCUUUUCUGGUGGAAGACGAAUGACGGUACACCAGGAAUAAAGCAUCGGCUAAUUAUGUGCCAGCAGCCGCGGUAAUACAUAAGAUGCAAGCGUUAUCCGGAAUUACUGGGCGUAAAGCGUCCGCAGCUGGACUUGUAAGUCUGUUUUCAAAUGCCCUGGCUCAACCAGGGGAAGGGAAUAGAUACUGCAAGUCUGGAGUUUACGAGGGGUUAGUGGAAUUUCCGGUGGAGCGGUGAAAUGUGUUGAUAUCGGAAAGAACGCCAAAAGCGAAGGCAGCUAACUAUUGUAAAACUGACAGUCAAGGACGAAAGCUUGGGGAGCGAACGGGAUUAGAUACCCCGGUAGUCCAAGCCGUAAAUGAUGUUCGCUAGGUGUUUCUCGUAGUUCAACGAGGAGUGCCGUAACCUAACGGGUUAAGCGAACCGCCUGGGUAGUAUACUCGCAAGAGUGAAACUCAAAGGGAUAGGCGGGGGAACACACAAGCAGUGGAUGAUCUAGAUUAAUUGGAUAAAAAGCCAAAAAUCUCACCUAGACUUGACAUGCUCUUUGUCGUACGUGAAAGCGUACUAUCCUAGCAAUAGGAAGGGAGCACAGGUGGUGCAUGGUCGUCGUCAGCUCGUGCCGCAAGGUGUCUAGUUAAGUCUAGAAACGAGCGCAACCCUCAUCGUUAGUUAC
rnacentral:rRNA from 1 species